rnacentral:rRNA from 1 species
UACGUAGGUGGCAAGCGUUGUCCGGAAUCACUGGGCGUAAAGCGCGCGCAGGCGGCGAUCUACGUCUGGGGUGAAAGCCCGGAGCUCAACUCCGGGACUGCCUUGGAUACGGGAUCGCUUGAGGAUUGGAGAGGCAACGGGAAUUCCACGUGUAGCGGUGAAAUGCGUAGAGAUGUGGAGGAACACCUGUGGCGAAGGCGCCUUGCUGGCCAAUUACUGACGCUGAGGCGCGAAAGCGUGGGGAGCAAACAGG